GGGCCCGCACAAGCGGUGGAGCAUGUGGUUUAAUUCGAUGCAACGCGAAGAACCUUACCUACCCUUGAAUCUACAGGAAUUUGCAAGAGAUUGCGAAGUACCUUCGGGACCUGUAAGACAGGUGCUGCAUGGCUGUCGUCAGCUCGUGUCGUGAGAUGUUGGGUUAAGUCCCGUAACGAGCGCAACCCUUGUCCUUAGUUGCCAGCAAGAAAGAUGGGGAAUCUAAGGAGACUGCCGGUGAUAAACCGGAGGAAGGUGGGGACGAUGUCAAGUCAUCAUGGCCCUUAUGGGUAGGGCUACACACGUCAUACAAUGGCUGGUACAAAGGGUUGCCAACCCGCGAGGGGAGCUAAUCCCAUAAAGCCAGUCGUAGUCCGGAUCGUAGUCUGCAACUCGACUGCGUGAAGUCGGAAUC
rnacentral:rRNA from 1 species